AGUGAACGCUGGCGGUAGGCCUAACACAUGCAAGUCGAACGGCAGCACAGUAAGAGCUUGCUCCUACGGGUGGCGAGUGGCGGACGGGUGAGGAAUACAUCGGAAUCUACUUUUUCGUGGGGGAUAACGUAGGGAAACUUACGCUAAUACCGCAUACGACCUACGGGUGAAAGCAGGGGAUCUUCGGACCUUGCGCGAUUGAAUGAGCCGAUGUCGGAUUAGCUAGUUGGCGGGGUAAAGGCCCACCAAGGCGACGAUCCGUAGCUGGUCUGAGAGGAUGAUCAGCCACACUGGAACUGAGACACGGUCCAGACUCCUACGGGAGGCAGCAGUGGGGAAUAUUGGACAAUGGGCGCAAGCCUGAUGCAGCCAUACCGCGUGGGUGAAGAAGGCCUUCGGGUUGUAAAGCCCUUUUGUUGGGAAAGAAAAACAGCAGGUUAAUACCCCGCUGUUCUGACGGUACCCAAAGAAUAAGCACCGGCUAACUUCGUG
rnacentral:rRNA from 1 species